rnacentral:tRNA from 1 species
UUGCUCGUAGCGCAGCGGCGUCGUCGCGCGCUCGGCGGCGCGCGCGGCGGCAUGUGCGCGCGGCUGCGCGAUGAUCAUGUCGCUGUCGAGCAGGC